rnacentral:rRNA from 1 species
GAUGAACGCUGGCGGCGUGCCUAAUACAUGCAAGUCGAGCGAACAGACGAGGAGCUUGCUCCUCUGACGUUAGCGGCGGACGGGUGAGUAACACGUGGAUAACCUACCUAUAAGACUGGGAUAACUUCGGGAAACCGGAGCUAAUACCGGAUAAUAUAUUUAACCGCAGGGUUCAGGAGUGAAAGGCGGUUUUGCUGUCACUUAGAGAUGGAUCCGCUCUGCAUUGGGUAGUUGGUAAGGUAACGGCUUACCAAGGCAACGAUGCGUAGCCGACCCGGGAGGGUGAACGGCCACACGGGAACUGAGAACCGGUCCAGACUCCUACGGGAGGCCGCCGUAGGGAAACUUCCGAAAUGGGGGAAAGCCUGACGGAGCACCGCCGCGUGGGUGAUGAAGGUCUUCGGAUCGUAAAACUCUUUUAUUAGGGAAGAACAAGUGUGUAAGUAACUAUGCACGUCUUGACGGUACCUAAUCAGAAAGGCACGGCUAACUACGUG